rfam:Schistosoma mansoni strain Puerto Rico chromosome 1, complete genome
GCACUGUUGGGGAGUCCCACAAUAGGACGAAACGGUCGUCCAGUGC